AUUGUUUUGGCAGAUUAGUGUAUUAAAUUUAGAAUUUAAUUAUGUAUAUUUUUAUACAAGCAAUA
rnacentral:tRNA from 1 species